rnacentral:rRNA from 1 species
UGCGCAGGUGGCCAAGUGUGUUAGGCGUGAAAGCCCGGGGCUUAACCCCGGAAUUGCACCUAAAACUACUUGGCUAGAGCAUUGGAGAGGGGAGCAGAAUUCAUGGUGUAGCAGUGAAAUGCGUAGAUAUCAUGAGGAAUACCAGAGGCGAAGGCGGCUCCCUGGACAAUUGCUGACACUCAGGCACGAAAGCUGGGAGCAAAAG